rnacentral:rRNA from 1 species
UACGGAGGAUGCAAGCGUUAUCCGGAAUCAUUGGGCGUAAAGCGUCCGCAGGUGGCAGUUCAAGUCUGCUGUCAAAGACUGGGGCUUAACCCUAGAAAGGCAGUGGAAACUGGACAGCUAGAGUGCGGUAGGGGUAGAGGGAAUUCCCGGUGUAGCGGUGAAAUGCGUAGAGAUCGGGAAGAACACCAGUGGCGAAAGCGCUCUGCUGGACCUGCACUGACACUGAGGGACGAAAGCUAGGGGAGCGAAUGGG